GGGCACUGGGGAUUGAACCCAGGGCCUCCACACUGAGCUGCGUCCCCAGGCGUUUUUAUUUCUUAUCUUGAGACAGAAUCUGUCCAAUUUGCCCAGGUGGGCUCGAACUGGAGACCCUCCUGCCUCAGCCUCAGAGCGCAGGGCUGACAGGGAUGCACCUGUUUGCCUGCUUCGAGCGGGCGGCGCAUAAUAGCCAGGACCCAGAGGCUUGGUUAGUCCGGCCAUUGCUGCUCUGACAGGGCUCUAAGAGGAACCAUAACAUGCCCUUCAAGUGCAGAACAAGCUUAGUACCUGUGAAAAGCAGCCUGGGACCCCAGCCACUGAGGAGGCUGAGGCAGGAGGAUCUUGGGUUGCAGGCCAGCCUGGGCAACUCAAUGAGACCGCAAGGAAAAGAGUAAGAAGUAAAAAACCCAAACUACAAAGGCUGAGAGCUGCGCCACGUAGUGGUGCCCCACAGCCCCAAGCAGGCGAGCACACAGGGCCGCGCUGCGCAGGCGCUGCGAGCUGUGGUUCAGUCACGCACAAGGACGACGCAGAGGCGGGAGGGCUCCUGCCGGGACCAGGCCCCGGAAGCCGCUGGCCAGAGCGGAAGACUGCGUCUGCUCGGAAGUGGGAGGCUGGCUGCGGUCCCGUGCUGUUCGGGGCUGGACAGGGCCUCUUCCUCCAGCGGGCUCCGGGCUUCCUUUGCCCCCCCCCCUUCCCGCCUUCGAUGAGCGCCUGUGCUGCUCACGCGCCGGCCCCUCUUCCCUGGUUUCACCUCGACCCCUGGCCGGCAGAAUGGCGGCUCCCUGAAGAUGCCACCGCCCAGGCCCCAGGACCGCGAUGGCAGGCAGGGGGCAAGGCUCCAGCUGGGGUGCACAGUGUCGGCCAGCCAGCUCCCUCGGGCUGGGCACAGGCCCGGGCUCUCUGAGCUCCCGAGGGCGGCCAGGGUCCCUGACGGCCUUGGAUGGGGAGUCAUGAACCAGAGCUGCUGGCCUCUCAGGGCUGGAAAAGACACUGAAGGUGUUCGGGCCUGCAGCUGCCAGGAGGAAGCAGCCCUGCCCCUGCCCCUGUUUUAUCUCAGACUUGGUAUAGAAAACCGUAGAGUAAUGAAUUUUAGCUGAGUCCACACUCAGCUGGUGCAUGCCUCUUAUCACAGCACUCUGGGAGGCUGAGGCAGGAGGAUCACAAAUUUGAGCUGAGCCUGAGCAACUUAGUGGCUUGGCAAGGCUCUGUCUCAAAAUAAUAAGGGCUGACAUUGUAGCUCAGUGCAAAAGUCCUGGGUUCAAUCCCUACUACUUAAAAAAAAACAACCCAUGAAUAAAAAAAAACAACCCAUGAAUACAUGAAAUACUAAAUUCAUGUUGUCUUAAGUCACUAAAUUUGUGGGAACGUGUUACAGUUUGUGUGCAGGAAGUUCACACAAUUCCUCAGGGGCCUUUUAAGUCAGGACUUUAUAACCUCACGAUGUCACAGAACUCAAUUCCCAAUGCAGACACUGCAACAGCCUCCAGCAGCAAAUCACAGCAUUAUGUGACAUUCAAACAACUUGAGUUUUAUUGUCGUUUUCCUUUUUUGGUGAGGCCUAUGAAGUGCGUAGUCCAGUAUGUGAUGUUCAGCAUAAGUGUUGCUCAGUGAGUUUGCAGAGAGGUUUGUCUGCUUGGCAUGAGGACCACGGUGAGGGUCCUCACACCCUCUCCUGCCCCGGCCCAGUGUAGCAGUGCCCAGGCUCCCAGCGACAGUGGUCCAGUCUCUGUCAGUGAGGCCACUCGCAUUGCUGGGUCGCGUCUGUUCCUACCCAGCCACCUAUCCACGUGAUUAACACGUGUGUGUCCGUGUGUGCACACAUGCAUGCAGGCGGCCUUCUGUACUCUCAAGUAUACAGAUCCAACCCCCUGUGGAUGGAAAAUACCUGGAAAAACUUGCACCUCUACUGAACACACAUGGACUUUUCUUGUUAAGUCAUUGGAUGGGGCCUGAGGAGCCCCCCAAAGAGGAGAUGGGACUUCGAGUCACCCUGUUGAGGAGACUCUUGACUCCCUGCAUGGGAGAAGGAUCUCAGGGUGCAGCAGUGUGAGGCGCAGGAAGAUUCAAGGGAGGGAGAAUAAGGAAAGGACAUGGCCAAGCAGCUGCUGGGGUGCAGGGUCAGACUGGCCCCUUGAAGAGCAGGACGUGGCCUUCGAGGGUGCGCUGAGGUUCAGGGCUGGUGGGCCAUGGGCUCAGCUAUGGCUCCAGCCCUGGAGCUCCUCAGGUUUGAGGCAGUCGGUUCCCAUGAGAGGAUGUCGGGCUCUGUCCCAUCUGGGUGACCACUCCUGCUGGGGGAGGCGAUCUCAUUACGGGUGGUCUGCAGGGCUCUGUGGUGACCUGAUUAUGGGUUGGAGACUUCUCGGCACCUGCCCAGGGGGUCUGGAGCCAAUGCUGAAAAUUACUUCCAUUACUCUUGCCUUGGUGUCUCCAGUCUUGUGUGUGUGUGUGUGUGUGUGUGUGUGUGUGUGUGUGUGUGUGUAGUAUUCCAGGUAAAUUUAGGGCCAGUAAACCUUUCGAUACAGACACUCCCUAAGUGAUUAGGAUUCCUACACAGAGCUGAUCGGGGGUCUGACCAGAGUGCUGAGGAGACAAGAAAGACAAAAAAGUUCCUUCCUUUCUACCCAUCUUCAUUUCUCCUGUGCUACCUGAAUUAUUUCCUAAACAAUGCAGCAUAACAACUAUUUAUAGAGCAUUUACAUUGUAUUAAACAUUAUAUUACCUAGAGAUAAUGCAUAGUACACGGAGAGUGUGCACGGCUGCAUGAGAAUAUUGUAUCAUUUUACAGAACAGAUCCCAGAAUCCAUGGAUUUUGAUAUAUGUAGGGAUCUGUGCCCAGUGCUAUAGGAAUACCGAGCAACCAUGGGCGUGCAUGUGGGUGUGAGUGUGUAGUUUUUAUAUGUGGCUGUGUAGUUUGCCUGGUGCGUAAAGGUUUAUGUGCAUUUCAGGUCCACUCACAUGUGCACCGUUUUCGUUGUGCCCAGUGUGUGGAGGAGCCGUAACUAUGGCAUUUGCCUCUGGUUGGUAGACACCCCGGGUGGUGAUGUUUUUCUGAUGCAUAUGAGUGGCUUUGACUGAGAAUAUGAGCAGCUUUGUUUUGGGGAAGACAGAGGAUACCAGGCUCCACCAAGCAGGCUCUGCGAGGUCCUGGGUUUCCCUUUCUUGGGGCCUCAUCAGAAUUUGUUAUAGUUUGAUUUCUCGAUGAUGGCCGUUCUUUCUGGAGUGAGGUAAUCUCAGUGUUGGUUCCGUGUGCGUUUGCCUAGUGCUCAGUGCUGUUGAGCAUGUUCUCCCGUGUUUAUUGCCCGUGUGCCCGUCGUCCCUUCAUUGCAGUCACCCAUUCUUUAAAGUUAGGUCUUGUGCUUUGAGAAUCUCAGUUUUUUGAGUUCUGUGUACAUUUUAGACGCUGGUCCUCGGUUUGGGAGGAGCUGAGUAAAGUUUCCCCAUGCUGUGGGCUGUCUCUCCACUCUGGGUGAUUUCCUUUGCUGUGCAGUGGCUCUUUGCUUAGUCUCGCUGUUAUUUUUGUGCAGCUGAAGCUCUGUUGGGAAGCCCUUGCCCGCACCCGUGUCUCAGGGUUUGCCCGCUUUGUCUUCCAGCAGGCUGAACGUGUGCAUGCCCAGUUGUGGCACUCUGUUCCUCUUUCCCCUUUAUUUUCUCAUCCCGCUCGGGGUGCUGUGUGCCUCCUUCCCUUCCCUCCCUCUCUUGUCCCCUGCAAUGCAAACUCUCCAAGGUCUGGGACUCCGUUUUGAUCACUGCACUGUUUUUCACACUCAGCACAGCAUCUGAGACUCUUCCCAUUCCCUGCACCUUGUCACUGUUUGUUGAAUGACUGUCAGUCCUCAGGUUCUGACUUCUGCGCCUGGGAGCCACAGGACCUUGGAGCAGGAGCAGGAGCAGGAGGAGGAGCCAUCUCCACAGCCCCACAGCCUCCCAGGAGAUGCAGAGCCUCAGGCCUGAGCAGAUGCAGGGGCUGCUGGAGCCAGAGAGGGUGAAGAUGCUGCUGCCUCGGGAGAGCCGGGCCUGGGAGAAGCCAUCCCAAGUCACCAAGGACUGGGUGGCGGUGGAGCUGGGGGCCUGCAGCUGUGACGGUGAAGGGAGAGACCUGUCUUCUCCAGAGUCUGGGUUUUCCCAGGAGUGGAGCUUGGUGGAGGAAGAUGAAGAGUCAGAGGAUGCCCAGGUAUGUUGGGGUUUCUCCUCCUCCUCAGAUGUCUCACCUGGAAGAUCUCGGGGAUUGUCACAGAUCCUCAGCCUGGAGUUCUCUGCCCUGUGGAAAUUCCAAGAGGUAUCUUGUGGGAAGCAGGACGUGUUCCUGCAGUGGCCACACAGAGCGGAGGGUCUCCAUGUAGUGUGUGUUUAACUCACACACCUUACUUGUAAAUCCAUCCAUCCAUCCACCCACUCUCUCACCACCUACCCACCCAUCAAUUCACCCGUCUACCCCUUGAACAUCCAUCAACCACUCAUCUGUCCACUCACUGUUCUAGCGAUCCUCAAUCCCUGUGCACCCAUAUUUCUAUUCCGUCUGUUCAGCCAUUGGUAUACAUUACCAUCUAGUCUUACCCAUGCAGUAUCAACCUGUCUCACCUACCCCCACAUAGUCAUCCAUCUGUCUACUCAUCUGUCAGACCCACCAAUUCAUCUGUUUUCUGUCUGUUGACCAUGGUGAAGAUGUGGCUACUUUUCAUCCCCCUUAUGCUUACUCAUUCAUUUAUCCCUAUCUGUCCCAUCCAUCCAUCCAUCCACCCAUUGAUCAGUCCAUCUACCAAGCUACCUACUGAUUUGCCCGUCCAUACACCAUUCAUUCAUUCAUUCAUGCAUCCACUUACCCAUUCAAUCCAUGUAUCCAUCCAUCCAUCACUAAUCAUCUCGUGGGCCUAAUCCAAAUACUAUAAACAAACAAAACAGAAUUAUCUAUCACAUAUAGUUCACCCAGAGACAUCAGUAUAAGAGAUAACAGCAGUGAUUAUUUUAUUUAUCCAUUUAUCCGAUACAUCAGAAAACGCAUGUAACUACUGCCAGCAGCACACGAGGGCUCCAUCCCUCUCUGGGUCCUAUGUGGGACACCCACGAUGGUUAGCCUAGCCCAGGACAUGAGCUUCCCGCUCUACAGGGAGGGAAAGGGGACAAACUGGACAACAGACCACCGUGGAGCAGGAACAAGUGCUGGCCCAGUGAGAGGGCUUGAAGGAGCAAACUCUGCAUGCUGCAGCUUUGUUCCUGAACACAGAAAGGAGGAGACACCAGGCCCAGGGUUUUAGGGACCAGCGUGUUUUCCUCCCACCAGGCUGAGGGAAGAGCCUGUGGCCAGGAGAGGAGAAUGCUGCAGCAGGGCCUAUCUGGGGGACUUGGGUGUGGAACGCAGAGUGGAGGGAGCUGCAGACAACAACCUGGCUGGGAUGAGUUGUUCCUCCACUUCCUAACUACUUCCCCAGCGCUGGCUGUGUGCAGGGAGGUGGUCAGCACGCAGAGGGCACAGCAGUGAAUGGGUCGGAAACGAUGCUUGCCUCCAGCAGGGUUUCGGCUGCCCAGGUGGAUGGAUGGGGAGCAGAGGAAGCAGCUUGGGUGUUGGCUGGAGUGAGUGCUCGGUGAGGUGUGAAGUCAGAAGCCAGCGCGGGAGGCGUUGAGGGCGAGGGAAGCUGUCCCCGGAGUCCUUGACGGGAAAGGCUGAAGGAGUCAGGGAGUGAGACAGGCAGAUGUGGGGGUGCCGUGGGUGCCGAGGCCCGAGGCAGGGGGGCCCUGGCCCGGCUGAGGAGCGUCCCGUCCCGGUGGCCGAUGUGGCCGGGCUGGGCUCCGUGAGUCUGCAGCGGAGUGCGGGGCCGCGCACUCCUGACGCCCUUGCUAGCCCAGCUUUCCCUGGGCCUGUGCUCGCGGUCAGUGCAGGCUCUCUCUUCACAGGUGAGGAGAUGGAGGCAGAGAGGGGCUGGAAGGCUCCUGCUGGCCCCACAAGGAGCAGGUGGCGGCGUCAGAGGGAGGCCGAGGCCUUGGGUGGAGGGGACGGGGGCGCGGAGCGUGGGCCCCAGGCCUUCCUGACUUCGGGGUGUCCCAGGGCAAGGCCAGGGAGGACAGGGGAGAGGCAGCAUCCAGCCUGGGAGCAGGACACUCAGUUAACUUCCUGUGGCGACCAUGGAGCAGCACAGGCCGUGCGGUUCGUGAGGAAAGGUUCGCUCAGCUGGCGGAAGUGGAGCUGGAAGUCCCAUGUGAAGAAGCCUCCUCCCCAGGAGCGGGGAGCAGAGCUCGGCCCCUUCACCGUGCAGAACAGCAGGGCCUGUGACCCUCGUCUGUCCCACCCCGCGGGCCUUGCCGUGUCUUAGCGCGGCAGACGGGGUCACCCGGAGAAACAGAGCAUGGUGCUGGCUCCAGUUUCGGUCUCCUCCCUGCGACACCAUCUCGGGCCCCACCAUCAGGACCUCGUGGCCCAGGGCCCCACCUCCUGAUCCAUCAGCGUAUGAAUUUGGGGAUGAAGUUUCCAACAGCAGCAUUCGGAGAACACCUUCAAGCCGUGGCCCAUGGUCCACUCUGCCAUUCGCUCAUCUGUGGCCCAUGGACCCCUUUCUGGGUCCCCCCUAGGAGAGAGAGAGGGACAGGUGCCCAGGACCAGCGGCCUUUGAUGGCACUCGCUGCCAGGCCAGGCAGCCCUCGCUGUGACUCUACCUACCCUAAUUUACUUAACCCUCGUAUCAGACCUCGAGGAAGACCUACGCCCAGUGUACAGAUGGGCAAGUGAAGGCACAGCGAGGUAGUGACUUCCUCCCUGUCAGCACGUGAGCGGCAGAGCUGCAGUUGGAAGCCAGUGUGCAGCGAUCCACUGGGCGCACUCGCCCACCUCGGUCCUCCCCAGGAGGGCGGUGGACAGUGCCUCCCCCUGCUGCCCUGCUCGUGUGUCACAUGACCCUUGUGGAGAGAAGGGGGCGGCUUUCCGGGGGCUCCCAAGGCCCACUCUGGGCACCCAGAAGACAGCAGGGAGGAGAAGGGCCCGUCCCCGUCCUGUGAGGCGCAAGCGUGUGCGAUGCCCGAAGCUCGCAUGCGAAUGCGUGAGGCCAAAGGAGAACCCAAGGCCCAGAAACGACCCAGUGGCGCCGCUGCAGCUGCUGCAGCGGGCAGUGGUCCUGCAGCCCAGGCCAGGCAUGGCUUUCUCGGAGGGGAGUAAACCAGGGAGGGAGCAUGGUGGAUGCGGGGACUUAGCAUGAUCAGCCUUUUGGGGGAGUGGUACCGGGGAUUGAACCCAGGCCUUCGCCCUGAGCUACGUCCCAGCUCUUUGGGGACAGGGCCUUGCUAAGUCGCUACCUUUCCCAGGCUGGGCUUGAACUUAUGGUCCUCCUGCCUCAGCCUCUUGGAAGACUGGGGAACAGGAGUGUGCCUCCAUGCCCUGCUGAUGAGCUGCUUCCUGUUCCGUGUGCUCCCCCUGGGCAGUGUUCGCCUCGGGAGACGCCUCAGGCUGUGUCAGGGCCCCUGCCCGUCCAGAGGGUGGCUCAGGGCCCCCAGAGAGGGGCUGAAACCUGGUGAUAUCAGCCCUGUACCCACUGUGUGUUUCCUAUGCAUGCACACCCAGGGUGACAUUUAAUUUGUAAAUCAGGCAGGGUACAGUGCAGGAAUAACUCAUAGCGACCUAGCACCCUUGACCUAUAAUAAGAGCUAUGUGCAUAUGCAGAUGAAGUCCAGCCCCUGCCUGCUCCCAAGGGGAGCUCUAGGGCGUGGACAGUGUGGGGCAUUGUCCUCUCUGGGCCAGCGUCCGUGACACCCCCUGGUUCCUUCCCUGGGCCCUGGCUGCCCGGAGGACGAUGUAGCCCAGGGUUCGCGGGGAGAGGGCUCCCAUCGGCACAGGGCAUUUCUCAGGAGAAGGGGCACCACGGACAGGAGCCAUGGAGCAGAAGUGAUGGCCCGGCCCCUGGGGAUCGGGAGCAGCGGGACCCAGUCAGAUACCAGUGCAGGGCACUGUCCUGGUCACUUUUCUCAUCACUGGGGUGAAGUAGGGGAACCCACAGCUGGAUGGGACAGAGGUUUAUCCUGGCUCCCGUUUUGUUUUGGAAGCUUCAGUCCUUGCAGGGUCAGCGGUGCAGCGGGAGAGCCUGGUGUGUGGGGAGCCUCAUGGCCGCCAGGAAGCUGGAGUGGAAGGAGGAUCCCGGGAGGGAGCUGCAGCCCUGCAGCUCAUGGCCAGGCCCCGCGGUCCAGUGAGUGCACGAGGCUCCCGGGCGACAUCUGGACCUAAACCAUCACCCAAAUGCAGAAUGUUUGUAUUUCGGGUGACUUGUGCUUAUUACAUUUUCUUAAUUUCAUAUUCUGCCUUCUGAAAUGAUAGAGUAGUGAUUUCUAAGAAAACACAGAUCAGAGUAACACACGUGCAUCGUGUGCACCCCGCACCCCGCCUGAGGCCCGAGCGCCCACGUCCUCCUCCUCCUUUCCGGCCUGUCUCCCCUCUGGAGGCAGCCACGGCCCUUGAUUCCUGCUCACACAGACGAGCUUUGGUUUCAUCAGACUCCAGCUGAAGAGUUGUCCAGCAGACUGCACAUACCGGGAAGAGGAGGUGGGAUCAGGAGUCUUGUUCUGCAUUUGGUGUCUUCCCGGUAUAUUCUGGAUGGCUUUCGUGGCAUGCCUUGAUCAUCUCCACUCUUUCAAGUUUACUUCAGGCCAGAGAGGAGUGAGGCACAGAGGGGUGGUGGUAGCAGAGGGGAGGGAAGCGGUCGGCUUCCUGAGGUGUUCUGAAGGCAAAGUCAGCAGCCUUCGCCAUGGCUGGGAAGACUGGGGUGUGGGAGAGGAGGGUCCAGGAUGCCACAGAGGAGGCCCGGAGAGGCCUGCAGGAGUAAUGUGGGACUCACACGGGCGAGGACCUGGGUUUGAGGGCCGGGGAGAUGCGAGGAUGUUUGUGUGGCACGUGUAAACUUUGGUGCCCCCGUUGCAUAUCCAAAGGGAGGUGGUGAGCAGACAGUGAGAAAUGCAGUUGGGAAGUCAAGACGGGAGUUGGGUCAAAGAAUACAACUCACACGCAAAUGUCUUUUGAUGGGGCGUUUGCAUAAAAAGGCUAUUUUAGAACUGCAGGACUUUAUACACCAAUGGCGUUUUCAUCCCAUUUUUUCCCCCUGAAAUUUCCUCCCAUAGAGCAUAAGUAUGUUACUUACUCUUGUGUGAUUAUCUUACCUCUAGCCACUCUGUCAUACAGCUUUAAAUUUAAAUAACUUCUCUGUUAAUAUGUUGUUUUAUUUCUAAUCGUAUAAUCCUAUUUUCCUAUAAGUAAGGCUGGUGUUCCCUUUCUUUCCAGUAUUUAUACUUUCUUCUCUUCUGUUUCAGGGCUUGGUGGAGUGGUCAAAAGCUCCACAACAAACGACCAUAGUGUUGAUAGUGUGUGUGCUGUUCUUGUUCCUGGUUUUGACGGGGAUGCCUAUGAUGUUUCACGUUUGAUUAUCCCAGUGACCUUUGUUUUCAGAUAGAUCCCCUGUGUCAUCUUGAGGACGUGUCCUGGUUAAAAAUCAGGGAUGAGUUUUGAAUAUUUUCAAAUGCCUUUCAAAUAUCCACAAAGAUGAUUUUUUUUUUUAAAAAAAAACCUUUUAGUAUGAAGUUUUACAUUACUGUAUUUCAUUAAAAUUAAGACAUCAUUAAUUGCAGAGCACAUAUUAUUUUAUAUACCAUUGAGAAAGAAAAAUGCUUGUUUUAAUUGUAAAAUGCCACCUCCUAACUUCAGAGAAGGUGAAAAAAUGUCCAAUUUAGAAUGAGUGAGAUUUAAUAGAUUUCUUAUCGAACCAUUUUUGCAUUCCACGGAUUGUGGUCCACUCUCUUUUCAUGUACUGAGUUAUUUUUUCUUGAUGUUCAUGUGAGAUUCUUGCCUCCAUCUUCAUAUGUGAGUUGGGUGCUAUCUUGGUGAAGCUGGGUGUGAUGGAGGAGCCUGCCUCAUAGGAACAGCUGAGCAGCUCUUACCCUUCUCUGUGGUUCUGAAUCACAGCUGUAGCUUGAGGAUUAUCUAGCCCUCGCCAUCUUAAAGGAUCCACCAAUAAAAUGAUCAGACCCUAGAGUCAUGGAGGGGACAUUUCAGCCAAUUCUUGGGCAGCUCUCUCAGUUCUCCCCAUGCCAUCAGUCUGUUGACACUUCUCACUUCAUGGACUCAUUUUGAUGACUUAUGAUGUUCUUUUUCCCCUAGAGAAUUCUUAAUUCCAUGGAGUUUUUCAGAUUAUUAUCCUAUGGUGCGCACUAUUUUAUAACUAAACACAAACCUUUCCUUUGUCCUCUUCUGUGUCCAUUCUCAACUUCUUUGUGUGAGUUACCCAUUAUUUGACUUGUCAACGAAUUAUAUAAUGUUUUGUCAAAGAGCCAGUGUUAGGAUCUAUUUAUAUCCAUUAUUUUUCUUAAUUAUAAUAGCUUUUCCUUAAUAUCUAUUGUCUAUUUUUAUUGUUUUUAUGAUUUGUCUCAAUUUUUAAGUUGAGUGUUUAUAUAGUUUUUAUAUUUGCAAUAAUAGCAUAUUUAAUAUAAAGGUAUUUCUGGAUAUAUCUCUGGCCACAUCUUACAGGUUAACAAUUUACAUUCCUUUGUUGUUUUUUGUAAUGUUCUUAGAGAGUGCUUUAAAACUCAGUAAUUUUGCUCAUUAUUUUGUUUAAAAAGUUUUGUUUUCUUGUUUUACUGCACUGUGAACAGAGAAUGUGGCCUAUAAUAUAUCUGUUUUCAAAAUAUUUUAAAAAGCUUUUACUGUGGCCUGGAAAAUAUCAAAUUUUUGUUGCUGUUUCAUGGACAUCUAAGAUGAAUAUGUAUUCUGUGUAGAAAACUAUGUGUCUUUUCAUUAACUCAGUCUUAUCAAUUAUAUUGUUCAGAUUCAUAUGUUAUAUAAUGUUGGCUUACUGUAUCUUUCAAAAACCAAUAAGGUUAUAUGAAAAUGUUAGUAUGAUUGGUUUAGCAAUAUAUUUUUAUAGUAUUUGUGGUAUGUAUUCAACAGCUGUGUAAUUUGAUGCAAAUAAGUCCAGCAUUGUUAUGUCGUUGCCUAUUAAAUAAUCUAUAAAAAACAACAAGCACAGUCCCUGUCCUGUAGUAGGCACUUAAUAAAUGUUAGUUAAAGCCGACUCUG